GUGGGGAAUCUUCCACAAUGGACGAAAGUCUGAUGGAGCAACGCCGCGUGAGCGAAGAAGGGUUUCGGCUCGUAAAGCUCUGUUGUCGGGGACGAAUGUGCAGUAUUUGAAUAAAGUACUGUAAUGACGGUACCUGACGAGGAAGCCACGGCUAACUACGUGCCAGCAGCCGCGGUAAUACGUAGGUGGCAAGCGUUGUCCGGAAUUAUUGGGCGUAAAGGGAGCGCAGGCGGGAAGGUAAGUCGGUCUUAAAAGUGCGGGGCUCAACCCCGUGAUGGGAUCGAAACUAUCUUUCUUGAGUGCAGGAGAGGAAAGUGGAAUUCCUAGUGUAGCGGUGAAAUGCGUAGAUAUUAGGAGGAACACCAGUGGCGAAGGCGACUUUCUGGACUGUAACUGACGCUGAGGCUCGAAAGCCAGGGGAGCGAACGGGAUUAGAUACCCUGGUAGUCC
rnacentral:rRNA from 1 species